UACGGAGGGAGCUAGCGUUAUUCGGAAUUACUGGGCGUAAAGCGCACGUAGGCGGCUUGUAAGUUAGAGGUGAAAGCCCAGAGCUCAACUUGGAAUUGCCUUUAAGACUGCAUCGCUCGAAUCAUGGAGAGGUCAGUGGAAUUCCGAGUGUAGAGGUGAAAUUCGUAGAUAUUCGGAAGAACACCAGUGGCGAAGGACGGCUG
rnacentral:rRNA from 1 species